AGUGAACGCUGGCGGUAGGCCUAACACAUGCAAGUCGAACGGCAGCACAGUAAGAGCUUGCUCUUACGGGUGGCGAGUGGCGGACGGGUGAGGAAUACAUCGGAAUCUACUUUUUCGUGGGGGAUAACGUAGGGAAACUUACGCUAAUACCGCAUACGACCUACGGGUGAAAGCAGGGGAUCUUCGGACCUUGCGCGGUUGAAUGAGCCGAUGUCGGAUUAGCUAGUUGGCGGGGUAAAGGCCCACCAAGGCGACGAUCCGUAGCUGGUCUGAGAGGAUGAUCAGCCACACUGGAACUGAGACACGGUCCAGACUCCUACGGGAGGCAGCAGUGGGGAAUAUUGGACAAUGGUCGCAAGCCUGAUCCAGCCAUACCGCGUGGGUGAAGAAGGCCUUCGGGUUGUAAAGCCCUUUUGUUGGGAAAGAAAAGCAGCAGGUUAAUACCCCGCUGUUCUGACGGUACCCAAAGAAUAAGCACCGGCUAACUUCGUG
rnacentral:rRNA from 1 species